rnacentral:rRNA from 1 species
UACGGAGGUGGCGAGCGUUGUCCGAAGUACUGGCGUAAAGCGCGCGUAGGCGGGGGAUUAGUGAGAAGUGAAAGGCUGGGCUCAACUCCAUGCAGUGCUCUCAUACUGGUCUUCUUGAGGGGGGUAGAGAGAAGUGGAAUGGCUGGUGUAGCGGUGAAAUGCGUAGAUAUCAGUCGGAACACCGAUGGCGAAGGCAGGUCUCUGGGCCGAUACUGCGCUGAGGAGC